AGCAGCCGCGGUAAUUCCAGCUCCAAUAGCGUAUAUUAAAGUUGUUGCAGUUAAAAAGCUCGUAGUUGAAUUUCGGGGUUAGUAGGUUGGUCAUGCCUCUGGUAUGUACUGGUCUCACUGAUUCCUCCUUCCUGAUGAUCCGUAAUGCCGUUAAUUUGGUGUUGCGGGGAAUUUGGACUGUUACUUUGAAAAAAUUAGAGUGUUUAAAGCAAGCUAACGCUUGAAUACAUUAGCAUGGAAUAAUGAAAUAGGACGUUCGAUCCUAUUUUGUUGGUUUCUAGGAUUGACGUAAUGAUUAAUAGGGAUAGUUGGGGGCAUUAGUAUUCAAUUGUCAGAGGUGAAAUUCUUGGAUUUAUUGAAGACUAACUACUGCGAAAGCAUUUGCCAAGGAUGUUUUCAUUAAUCAAGAACGAAAGUUAGGGGAUCGAAGACGAUCAGAUACCGUCGUAGUCUUAACCAUAAACUAUGCCGACUAGGGAUCGGAUGAUGUUAAUUUUUUAAUGACUCA
rnacentral:rRNA from 1 species